rnacentral:lncRNA from 1 species
AGUAUUUGCAAAGCACUGAUAAAAACAUCUCUCUUCUCUCAAUCUUGCUUCCUUCUUUUCAUUUACUAAAUAGGCUUUUGAGCCUCACAAGACUUUGAGAUUUUAUGGAUAUGAAACCUGCUAUCAUUUAGCAUCCUGCCUCUGGGAAUAGACAUGGAUUCUCACUAUGACACCCAGGCUGGAGUGCAGUGGCACAAUCAUAGCUGACUACAGCCUCGAAUUUCUGGGCUCAAGCAAGGCUUUCAUCUCAACCUCCCCAGGAGCUGGGAUUACAGAUGGUGUCAGAAGCGGGGUUCAAAGUAGAGCUUUAAUGACCCCCAGAAGUGCUGAGUGAACAAGCAAGGUACCUGCAAGGACCCACUUGUGUCCUUUGAUCUCUCAGAGCAGUGGAAUUUUCAGCCUGCCAGCCUGCCCUACAGAAUUCAGACUUGUCAGCCUCCACAAUCAGUUCUAGAGGCUGAUAAGUCCAAGCAUAUGGUGCCAGCAUCUGGUGAGGCCUUCUUGCUGUGUAAUCUCAUGGCAGAAGAGUGGAAGGACAAGUGAGCACAUGCAAAAGGGAUUGUACAAGGUGCUGAGCUGGCUUUAUUACAACUUGCUCUUGAGAUAACUACCAACUCUGAUGAUAGGACCUUAAUCUAUUCAUAAGGGUGCUGCCUAUGAUUUGAUUACCUCUUAAAGGCCCCACAUCUUAAUACUUUUACAAUGGCAAUUAAAUGUCAACAUGAGUUUCAGUGGAGACAAACAUUCAAACCAUAGCAAAGGCUUAGAAUAGAAUCCUAGGAAUUCCAAAAUUGCCAGACAGAGAAAAAGAUGACAGCUACAGAAUCUGUGAAAUAUGUUCAUCAAAGUAAAAAGAAAUCCAGACAGUCAGUGACCUGUGAGCCAAUGGAAGAGAGAGACCACACAGGUGAGUGCCAAUGAGAGAUCAAAUGAGAUAUAGGUCAUAGUUACUUGUUCUAUUAAAUGACAUAGAAGAUAAAGGUGGCCUUAGCAAAAAUAGAAUUUCAAACUGUUAGGGAGGAAGCCAGACUGGAAUUAGAGAGGUAGCUGAAGAAUGACAGGGAAUGAGUAGAGAGGAACAGAGAGUAUAGGUUCUUUUGAAGAGCCAGGAAAGUUGGCAUGAAGAAGCUCAAUAUCUCUUUCUGUCUCUCAUUCUCACUCUGUGUGUGUAUGUGUGUGUGUGUGUGUGUGUGGUGGGGAGAAGGAAUAAGAGACAGAAAUCUUGAAACAUUAAAAUUAUCAUUAAAUGAUGGUGAGAAGGAAAGAAAUAUAAAAGUUAUGGUAAGAGAAAAAUAUGAGUAAUAUUUAACUCUUUCCAGAAAGGAUCCUCAAACCAAAGAACAUCCAUUUAGGCACUAUGGCUAGUGUUCAAACACACAAUAACCUCAAAAUAACACUUGCUGUCAAGCAGAAUUUGUAAAACUGAGCUGAAUAAUCAUGGAUUCAAAGGAAUUUAUUUCCUGACAUAUCAAAAUGGCCUUGUUUAAAUCAUGUAAUCGAGUCUAUAAUAAAAAUUUAAUCUUAAGGUUUUAUAGCUCAAAAAAAUCUGUAUUUUAAAUUUUUAGGCAGUUUCUUCUAAGGUGAACAAUGGUAUUUACCUUUUGGGUAGAACAUGACUUAUUUUUGGAAGUAUUGCUUGAGUAAUAUUAAGAAUUAGGAAAUAUCUACUUGCUGAUAUGAGAGUAUACAAAAAUGUUUGCUUGACAAGCUUCCGAGGGCUCUGUAAGAUUGUGGUGAUAUCAGAUAAUGCCCUUCCCAAAUGUGUCUGCUCAUCAAUGAAUUUACACACAUGCAUAACAGCUUCCUGGGAGCAGAAUGGCUUGUACCUGGUUCUGUCUCUGAGUGUUUCAAAGAUAUGGAAGCAUGUUUGAUGAAAGAUCAUGGAAUAGCAAAGAAAAAUAGCACCAAAAAGGCAAACAAGGCAGGGAAAGAUUCUAGACUAGUGAUUUGGGAUCAACACAGGACAGGAUGAUUAGAGAGAAUAGCUUCCUGUGCACACUAUGUAGUUUGAUGCAGAAGCCAUCCUGAUCCAGAUGCCCUGGUACUGUGGGGCGGGACCUUGGAAAAAUUACCCAGAGGAUGUGAAGUGAAAGUUUUGUUACACCAUUCUUCAGAGUGAAGGCAGUUUUCCUACAGAAACCUUCAAAAAAGGAGAUGCAUCCUUCCUUGUUCCUGGCAGUCUUGCAUUUGAGGAAAUCAGUAUGCUCCAACUUAGGUGAGUUAGGCCACUGGCCAAUUUUUUUUUUUUUCUGUAGCCCUCCUCUACUCUGAGUUCCUAAUUCCACUUGUUCUGAAUUUUUUUUGGUGACGCAUUGUCUCCAUUAUUGAACUUAGUCCUUUCAAAAAUUAGCAAAGCUGGGAAUUUUCAUCCUAUUCUUUUCCUACUUUCAGAACUUUGAACUUUGAAUUUUCAGGAAGCCAUGAAGAAUGGAGUAAGAUUCUAGGACCAGUUAACAAGAACAUGUAAAAUAAUUUGUUUGUAAAAUAAUCUUAUGAGGCUAAAGCACAAGCCAGAGCAGAUUUUUUUCAAAAUGCAUAAGCAACACUUGUUCAAUUCCACCUGCUGCAGUUAAAGAAAAACUUAUCUUUUAGUCUCCAGAGGCAGAAAAAAAGCAGAAAAGGUUGUUGAAAUUCUUCACAUUGAUUUCAGGGCAAUGAUCUCAAACGGCGCAGUGGGAACCCGCAAAUUUAAGAGGGUAGUUUCCCUGCACAAGCCCUUUUUUUGCCUGCUGCCAUCCGUGUAAGAUGUGACUUGCUCCUCCUUGUCUUCUACCAUGAUUGUGAGGCCUCCCCAGUUAUGUGGAACUCAAAGCUAGAGGAAACCAAAGUCAUAGAACAUCUGAACUCUGUCCAAACAUCGGUCGUAUUUCAAAAUUUCAGUAGCCACCAUCCCGCAGCCAACGAUAAUAUCUGACACUUCCUGACAUCAUGAAAGCCACCAUCUGUCUAUCACCAAAACCCUGUACUUUUUAAAGACUACUUGGCUUGAUCCUUAAUGAAGCUUCAAGUUGAAUGCACAGAUCGCUUUAGAAGGAAUACAAGGAAUAAUUGACACAAGAGAUCUCCUGGAAAAAGCCUUAUACCUAAUAUUCUUGUUUGGAGGAAGAAACUGGGAAAAACAUCUGUCAUCUCCUCACCAGGUUGUUUUUUGUUUUUUGUUUUUCUACUGAGCUGUUGUACAGAAGCCAUUUAUUGAGUAUGCAGGCUAUUUUAACAGUGCCUUGCAGUAUAAGCGUGGGCUAGAGAAAAGAAGAAA